rnacentral:sRNA from 2 species
CAACACAGCGUUAGUUGCGCAACACUAUUGCAGUCUAGUGUUGAAGAUAAGUUCUCCACUACAUAAGUAAAAGUGGAGAUUUUUGAUCAUGAAAUGAUAGAAAGAAGAAUAAUAGAUCUUCAGAAGUGAACUGAGCUUCUAUCUCUCUUAUCUAUCUCGAAAAUCAUUAUCAUCUCUGUCAACUUUCAGACCUGUGGGAAAUAUCACAGCUACAGACAGCAGUUGCACAGCUGCUGAAUGAAGAGGGCUGUAUACUGCCAGCAAGCUUCGAGCAGGCGCACUGUGAUGCCAUCUGUUCCCGGGGUGCUCUGCACCCCAAUUGGCUCAGAUACUCUCUAUUCUUACCUCUGAAUUAUCUGCCAUCUGUCUACCUACCUACUGACCUGUGCGAUAUCCGAUAAAUUGUCCAUGAAAUAUAGAAUGCCCGCUAGAUAGCUAGCUAUCCAUCUACAUCUCUAUCUAUCAAUCAAUCUUCUGCUCAACAUUCAAUCAUUCUCUAUAAGAAUAAACAUCCCC